GGCAUUUAGCUCAGUGAAUCCUACUCUAUUUAUUAAGCUAUAAAUACUUUCAGCUCGGACCAUCCCUUUAAAUGACGGUCAAAUGUGACCUGAAAACCAACAGUAAGUGGCCAAAAACGAAUUUUGAGAAUUAAAUUGAGCUUGAAUAGGCACAUCUUAAGCUUUAACACGAUAUAUAACUUGCCACAAUCGGUCAACAAUAACCCACACAAGCAUUUGAACGAAUAUAGAAGAAAUUACGUGAGAGCUUCAAAGAUCAAGAUAAAACAAGGUUUGAAUUUGGGAUUCGCUCAAGCAUAAGAAGAGCAUGAUGUAAUCUCCCUGUAACUUCCAUCAAUCUCUAAGCACAUGGUGUAAAACAGAAUCUUGUUUCUUGUCUUUUACUUAAGAUUUAACACUUUAAAUUUUUUUAGUAUGAAGAAUAAGAAGUAUUGUUUCAGAUAAACUAAUUGGUAUAAAUUUCAGUUUUGAAGACCACAUUACUAUUUUAUAGGAAAUUUGCAGAGAAGACCUAUUGAUGGUUUGGGGGUGUCGGGUCAGAAACAGCCAUCACAGUUAUAAAAAAAAAAAGAAGAUCAUCCACAUUCCAAAUUGUUUCUACAAAAGGUUUAUGCACUAAGACUACCCUAAAUCACAUGGGCAAAGAGCCAGAGCUCCUUGGAGUUCACUUCCCCAUCAAAACAUCUGCAUUACUUUAGCAAACAUUCCUUGUCCCUCGAUAUGAGAAAUUACCCACCUGAUACAACAAUCCUAUCAGAUUACUCUAGUUUCUUCAUCUUCAAUCAAAGAGAGAUGAAACGACACUACAAUGAUCUAUUAAACCCAUCAAACCACUUUCUAUUUUAAUUUUACACAAAUAUCUAUCUCAAAUAUAAAUUAAAGAACAAAUCAAGGAAAAUUAUGUAACAAAAUAGGAGUGUUAUUCUCCUCAUGUUUCAGGGAAUGAUUAAAUAACCAGGCCUGUGAAUGGAUGAAAGGGUGAUUUCAAGUUCUGUGUUGGUAUUGGUGUUAGGGCUGGUGUUGGUGUUAAAAGCACAAUUCAGAUUACUGUCCCCAGCUUUAACAUCUCAUGUGAGGUUACAAAAAUGAUUCAAAUCACAUUAAUGAUAUAUCAACCCCUUAUUGAGAUAUGUCCCAAGACCAGCUUCAUUUAGAUUUAGUGCUACGCUGAUAACAAAAAAAAUCAUUGACCCACCAAAAACACUAAAAGAUCAACAUCAAAAUUGAAAUUAACUUCAAACUGCCCCCCAGAAAAAAAUAUCUGUGACACUUUUAUCUCAUGUAUUAAUUGUUAGUUUGGUGUUUUGAAUAUUGAUAUCCGCCAUGAGUUUUAACUAAUUUUAGUAUCAAAAUCAUUAAUUACCAAUUACCAAGUCUCAUACAUGUCUUUGAAUCGUGGGAACUUAUAUUAACUGAUCGGGAUAAAUAAGUUCAAUAAUUUUAACAUUUGAAUGGUUUUCACUGGUCAACUUCACUGUGAUCCCUUUCCAUUAUACUACAUGCAAUUCACAUACCACACUUCUUACAUGUAAUUACAUAUUCUACAUUUAUCACGGUCAAAAACUUUCCAAAAUGACAAGAAUCGUCUAGUACUGAUGCACAAAUAAACAUGUCUCAAACAAUAAGCCAAGUAUCUCAUCCCAUUAACACACUCAACACAUCAAUGAGCAACCACUACGGGAAAUAUCUUACAAUAUAUAUGUACAUUCAAAAAAUAAUUUUGUAUAUGAAGCAGUGUGUUGCAAUUUCCGAUACGCACACUCUUCAAUGAUUAAGCAGCUUAUGAUCUGAGCUCCAUAACACAAAGAUAAAUUAGAAUGAAAAAAAUCUACUUGCUAGACAGACCUACACUGCAUCAUAUGGUGCCAAAAAAAGCAAGAUGGCAAGUGUUUACUAAAUGGAACAAAAUAAAAAAUUUAGCUUUAUAACCCUUAUCUGAAAUUGAUGAAGACAAAACAAAGAGCUUGAUUUGGAUCUAAUCUAGCAGAAUGAGAUCGAUGUGUUUUACUUAUAUAAGUACAUUUGUGUAUAGGUAUAUAUACUAUUUCAUUAGAAUCACAUUCAUACAAAAAUGAGUUUCAAAAUAAGAUAAAAAUAUGCAAUAAUUUCUUAAGUAAAGAUAUCAAUAUGCUCAGACAUUAAAUCAGAUCUUGGUGUACAGAAUAUUAAAAAAAAAAACAUUGAAAUGACAAAAAAAGGAAAAAAUUUCAACUUAGAAUUUCCAGCAUUCUUUUUAGUGCAAGUACAUUUUACUUUUGCAAUGAUAAUCCUGAAAAAAUAUGUAUGUGUCAGCAAACAUUCAGAGUUAACUCAACAUUAUGGUUCUAAGCCUAUUUUCAAUCUUGAAUUAAAUUGCCAAAUAGGUAUUGCCUGUAUCAUACAAAAAAAUUGUUGUCACAAGCUGUCGUGUGACACAUUUGUGGUUUGAAAUGCUUUGGUGUGCUGCAAUGACAAUAAAUCACAAAAAACAGUUAUUCAAAAUUUGUAAACAUUGACUUGUGAAAGUCAAGAAAAUACUACUGCAGUACAAGUGCAUGCACCAGUGAUUGUCAAAUUUUCACAUAAACAAACAAUUUUCUCUUUGUACAUUUCUUUACAAUGUUUUCCCCAACAUAAUGUAUUUAGUCUGAACAUACCUAUCAAUACUAAAAACAAUGUUUAUUCACACAGAACAAGAGUUUGUUUACUUUUUAUGUUGUCUGAAUUGGGUGUUAUUCACUCAUCAUUUGUGGCAUUGUCAUUUUACACAGCUGGAUAGUUUCAUUGAUUUCUACACAUGGCAGUGGCUGCUUUCAGAAAUACAGAAAUUAGAAAUAUUAGAAGUAUCCUCUAGAAUGGUAUUAUUCCCAUAUAAUGUACAAAGAACACACACGUGGAGGUGGGGGGGGGGGUGUUGCAAGAAAAUAUUUUCAAUCAAUUGCAGAUUUUAGAUGCAAAGUUACAAGUGAUGGAUCAAUUUUACCUGAAGCGAAUGAUACCUGUUCAUGCAAAGAGCAGACCAUCAAUUGCAAAAUUGCCCAUGAAAUGCAUGAUUCUUAAUGGAAUAGUGGACACAAAAUUGACUUGCGACCAAUGGCAAGAUUCUUGCAACGCCCCCAUGAGGCAUACCAUGCAUACAAUUGUAACACCCUAUGAUAUAGAACACGAUAGAAAACAAUGCAAUGAAGAAUAUAUAUUACAGUGAGUUUCAAGAGCUACAUAUUUUCACUUUUCCAGAUUCAACUGUGUCACAGUUGAAACGAUUGAAAAUAUGGACCAUAUUGAUGUUCACCUCCAUGGUUACAUUUCUUAAAAUAAAUGUUAAAAUCCCCCCCCCUCGUGAUGUAGGGACAGUUCUUUGACAGCAGAAAACAAAAACAAAGCAUACAAAUGAAAUGUUUUGAUUGGUUGAUCAACAUGGAAUUAUCAUAGAUGAAUGAAUUAGCAGAUUUAUAUAUUUUUUGGGGGUACUAAAAAAAUUCUACAGCUGUAAAGCUGCAUACUGUAAUAUCAGACAAUAACAGUCCUGAUGUUACAAUUUACAAUAUGUAGUAAUUGUAAGAUAAUGUUUCGUCUUUCAAACAAAUUUUGCCAAGUC